rnacentral:rRNA from 1 species
GUGAGUGAUGAAGGUUUUCGGAUCGUAAAGCUCUGUUGUUAGGGAAGAACAAGUGCCGUUCAAAUAGGGCGGCACCUUGACGGUACCUAACCAGAAAGCCACGGCUAACUACGUGCCAGCAGCCGCGGUAAUACGUAGGUGGCAAGCGUUGUCCGGAAUUAUUGGGCGUAAAGGGCUCGCAGGCGGUUUCUUAAGUCUGAUGUGAAACCCCCCGGCUCAACCCGGGGAGGGUCAUUGGAAACUGGGGAACUUGAGUGCAGAAGAGGAGAGUGGAAUUCCACGUGUAGCGGUGAAAUGCGUAGAGAUGUGGAGGAACACCAGUGGCGAAGGCGACUCUCUGGUCUGUAACUGACGCUGAGGAGCGAAAGCGUGGGGAGCGAACAGGAUUAGAUACCCUGGUAGUCCACGCCGUAAACAAUGAGUGCUAAGUGUUAGGGGGUUUCCGCCCCUUAGUGCUGCAGCUAACGCAUUAACCACUCCGC